rnacentral:sRNA from 1 species
AACAAAGUCGUUGUAGUAUAGUGGUAAGUAU